CAGGCUUAACACAUGCAAGUCGAGGGGCAUCAGGAAGAAAGCUUGCUUUCUUUGCUGGCGACCGGCGCACGGGUGAGUAACACGUAUCCAACCUGCCCUUUACUCGGGGAUAGCCUUUCGAAAGAAAGAUUAAUACCCGAUAGCAUAAUGAUUCCGCAUGGUUUCAUUAUUAAAGGAUUCCGGUAAAGGAUGGGGAUGCGUUCCAUUAGGUUGUUGGUGAGGUAACGGCUCACCAAGCCUUCGAUGGAUAGGGGUUCUGAGAGGAAGGUCCCCCACAUUGGAACUGAGACACGGUCCAAACUCCUACGGGAGGCAGCAGUGAGGAAUAUUGGUCAAUGGGCGCUAGCCUGAACCAGCCAAGUAGCGUGAAGGAUGAAGGCUCUAUGGGUCGUAAACUUCUUUUAUAUAAGAAUAAAGUGCAGUAUGUAUACUGUUUUGUAUGUAUUAUAUGAAUAAGGAUCGGCUAACUCCGUGCCAGCAGCCGCGGUAAUACGGAGGAUCCGAGCGUUAUCCGGAUUUAUUGGGUUUAAAGGGAGCGUAGGUGGACUGGUAAGUCAGUUGUGAAAGUUUGCGGCUCAACCGUAAAAUUGCAGUUGAUACUGUCAGUCUUGAGUACAGUAGAGGUGGGCGGAAUUCGUGGUGUAGCGGUGAAAUGCUUAGAUAUCACGAAGAACUCCGAUUGCGAAGGCAGCUCACUGGACUGCAACUGACACUGAUGCUCGAAAGUGUGGGUAUCAAACAGGAUUAGAUACCCUGGUAGUCCACACAGUAAACGAUGAAUACUCGCUGUUUGCGAUAUACAGUAAGCGGCCAAGCGAAAGCAUUAAGUAUUCCACCUGGGGAGUACGCCGGCAACGGUGAAACUCAAAGGAAUUGACGGGGGCCCGCACAAGCGGAGGAACAUGUGGUUUAAUUCGAUGAUACGCGAGGAACCUUACCCGGGCUUAAAUUGCAGUGGAAUGAUGUGGAAACAUGUCAGUGAGCAAUCACCGCUGUGAAGGUGCUGCAUGGUUGUCGUCAGCUCGUGCCAUGAGGUGUCGGCUUAAGUGCCAUAACGAGCGCAACCCUUAUCUUCAGUUACUAACAGGUCAUGCUGAGGACUCUGGAGAGACUGCCGUCGUAAGAUGUGAGGAAGGUGGGGAUGACGUCAAAUCAGCACGGCCCUUACGUCCGGGGCUACACACGUGUUACAAUGGGGGGUACAGAAGGCAGCUAGCGGGUGACCGUAUGCUAAUCCCAAAAUCCUCUCUCAGUUCGGAUCGAAGUCUGCAACCCGACUUCGUGAAGCUGGAUUCGCUAGUAAUCGCGCAUCAGCCACGGCGCGGUGAAUACGUUCCCGGGCCUUGUACACACCGCCCGUCAAGCCAUGGGAGCCGGGGGUACCUGAAGUACGUAACCGCAAGGAUCGUCCUAGGGUAAAACUGGUGACUGGGGCUAAGUCAUAAC
rnacentral:rRNA from 1 species